rnacentral:snRNA from 1 species
CAUGGUGAAACCCCUGUAUUAAAAAAGAAAAAAAAAAAUACAGUAGAGAUUAGUAUGGCCCCUGUCCAAGGAUAACACAAAAAUUUAUAAAAUGUUUCAUAGUUUU